UAUUUUCUGUCUUUAGCUGCUGAAGAGUGACGAACUGUCAAUCAGCAGGGACCCUCCUGAAUUAGACACCUAGCAGGAUGAAACAACUGGAAACAAUGGCACCCAGUAACGAAACCUUUUCCAUCAAGAAGCCUUGGAGCAGUUUUGUGAAAACUGGUUUUGAUUUGGAAGGUAAAGAAUGAACAGAAAAAUCCAAGAAAGUAAGGGGUGGAAAUACACCAUGUAAUGGGAGCUGCAUCUCACUCUGUAAAGAUAAAGUAAUGUAAUAUGUCAUUUAGAGCAGCAGGUCAUAGAACUACUCAAGAAAUAGAAGGUGGCUGAAUGGAAGGGAAAAGACUUUUUACUGACUUGAAGGGCAUGUCAACAAUACUGAGUCUGAAGACUGAGAACUCUGCUAUGAGGAUGAGGAACUGAAGAGAAAGGUGAUUCAGUAAUAUUGAAGAUUUUGCUUGUGGACCUGGACUUUUGGGCUAUUCAUGACUGUUUGCAGCUGUUUCCACUUGUCUCCUUUGACUGCUUUAGCAACAACAGUCAACCUCUCCACAUUCAAUAAUUUGAACACAUUAGAAUGAAUGCAUUAUUUAUUGCAUGCUCCACUUUGCUGAAUGAGUCCCGAAGUUGCAGCGGGAUAAACCAAGAAUUCUGAAAAAGACCAUUUCUCUCUUUACUGUAUGAUUGGGUUGUGGCAGGCACAGCAUCUGAGACAAAUUGCUAGGGUCUUAGAAACAACAAUCAUGCUGCUUUCUGCCCAAUAAAAGAAACCUUAUUUAGCCA
rnacentral:lncRNA from 1 species